rnacentral:rRNA from 1 species
UACGGGGGGGGGCAAGCGUUGUUCGGAAUUACUGGGCGUAAAGGGCUCGUAGGUGGCCAACUAAGUCAGACGUGAAAUCCCCUCAGCUUAACUGGGGAACUGCGUCUGAUACUGGAUGGCUUGAGUUUGGGAGAGGGAUGCGGAAUUCCAGGUGUAGCGGUGAAAUGCGUAGAUAUCUGGAGGAACACCGGUGGCGAAGGCGGCAUCCUGGACCAAUACUGACACUGAGGAGCGAAAGCCAGGGGAGCAAACGGG